rnacentral:miRNA from 1 species
UAUUGCACACUUCCCGCUCU